GGCGGACGGGUGAGUAUCGCGUGAGAAUCUGCCCUCUGGAGGGCGACAACAGCUGGAAACGACUGCUAAUACCCCAUAUGCCGCGAGGCGAAAUGAAUUUCGCCUGAGGAUGACCUCGCGUCUGAUUAGCUAGUUGGUGGGGUAAGAACCUACCAAGGCAUCGAUCAGUAGCUGGUCUGAGAGGAUGAUCAGCCACACUGGGACUGAAACACGGCCCAGACUACUACGGGAGGCAGCAGUGGGGAAUUUUCCGCAAUGGGCGAAAACCUGACGGAGCAACGCCGCGUGAGGGAUGAAGGCCUCUGGGCUGUAAUCCUCUUUUCUCAAGGAAGAAGAUCUGACGGUACUUGAGGAAUAAGCCACGGCUAAUUCAGUGCCAGCAGCCGCGGUAAUACGGGAGUGGCAAGCGUUAUCCGGAAUUAUUGGGCGUAAAGCGUCCGCCGGCCGCCCUUCAAGUCUGCUGUUAAAUAGUGGAGCUUAACUCCAUCGUGGCAGUGGAAACUGUUGGGCUAGAGUGUGGUAGGGGCAGAGGGAAUUCCCCGUGUAGAGGUGAAAUUCGUAGAUAUAGGGAAGAACACCGGUGGCGAAGGCGGCUCU
rnacentral:rRNA from 1 species